AACGAACGCUGGCGGCAGGCUUAACACAUGCAAGUCGAACGCACCGCAAGGUGAGUGGCAGACGGGUGAGUAACGCGUGGGAAUCUACCCAGAACUUCGGAACAACUGAGGGAAACUUCAGCUAAUACCGGAUACGCCUACGGGGAAAGGAUUAUCGGUUCUGGAUGAGCCCGCGUUGGAUUAGCUAGUUGGUGAGGUAACGGCUCACCAAGGCGACGAUCCAUAGCUGGUCUGAGAGGAUGAUCAGCCACACUGGGACUGAGACACGGCCC
rnacentral:rRNA from 1 species